AUUUAACGCUGGCGGCAGGCCUAACACAUGCAAGUCGAACGAAUGGCGGACGGGUGCGUAAUGUCUGGGAAACUGCCCGAUGGAGGUGGAUAACUACUGGAAACGGUAGCUAAUACCGCAUACAAUCGGAUGUUCCCAGAUGGGAUUAGCUUGUAGGUGAGGUAACGGCUCACCUAGGCGACGAUCCCUAGCUGGUCUGAGAGGAUGACCAGCCACACUGGAUCUGAGACACGGUCCAGACUCCGACGGUAGGCAGCAGGGGGUAAUAUUGCACAAUGGGCGAAAGACGUAUGCAGCCAUGCCGCGUGUAUGAAGAAGGCCUUCGGGUUGUAAAGUACUUUCAGCGGUGAGGCGUUACCCGCAGAAGAAGCACCGGCUAACUCCGUGCCAGCAGCCGCGGUAAUAC
rnacentral:rRNA from 1 species